UCGGGAAUAUUGCGCAAUGGAGGAAACUCUGACGCAGUGACGCCGCGUAUAGGAAGAAGGUUUUCGGAUUGUAAACUAUUGUCGUUAGGGAAGAUAAAAGACAGUACCUAAGGAGGAAGCUCCGGCUAACUAUGUGCCAGCAGCCGCGGUAAUACAUAGGGAGCAAGCGUUAUCCGGAAUUAUUGGGUGUAAAGGGUGCGUAGACGGAGGAACAAGUUAGUUGUGAAAUCCCUCGGCUUAACUGAGGAACUGCAACUAAAACUAUUCCCUGAGUGUCGGAGAGGAAAGUGGAAUUCCUAGUGUAGCGGUGAAAUGCGUAGAUAUUAGGAGGAACACCAGUGGCGAAGGCGACUUUCUGGACGAUAACUGACGUUGAGGCACGAAAGUGUGGGGAGCAACAGGAUUAGAUACC
rnacentral:rRNA from 1 species